CACGGAUUAUCAACUCGACGACUGCACUGCGUAAAGCAUGAGGUCAGAUACAGCGGGAGAAACUCAAGAGUGCGGAACCAAAGAGGGGAAAUCUUUGAAGAACAAUGUGAGAGCUCAAAAACUGUACAUUAUAUUGUCCUGCAUGACAUGAAGUUGCUAUGAAACACUAAAGAACAAAACAGCCAUAAAGAUAAUGUUGCUGUAUGAAGAGUUCCCGGUCUGUGUAAUGUCACCAUCAACUGAACAUACAAAACCCUCUGCCAGUCAAACGUGGACUGCCAUCUGGAAAGAUGCCUUCCAAGUUACCAUCCUCAGUGAGCUGUAUGCAAUUCUAGCAGACAUGCUCUCUCUGGCUUUACUCAGGAGCUAAUGAAUCUUGAACAGCUUCCUUUUCUCACCUCCACAGUCUUAAUCUUUUAUCCUGUUCAAGAGUUAUACAUUUGUCUAUUGACAUAGUGUUCUAAUUUUAUUCAAUGUAUGGAAAUUCAUUGUAUUCGUCAUACUAAAUCUAUUAGAAUGAGGGUGUGUGUAAUUCUUAGUGUCCUUUUAGAGUCUCAAAGAAUUCGAUUUAAAUAUGUUUAUGUGAUUUUGAAGGUGUGGGAGUAAAGAGGAGUUAUGGGUUGUAGAAAUGCACAUAAGAGAUGGGAACAAAGAGGGUGUACAGAAGGAUGUUGUGUGGAGAGAUCCCCCAAGGGUGUAUAGAUACAUAUGAUGUUGCUUGAAAUGUAGUUGUAGUCUUGUCUCUGCUUAUAAUGAGAAGAGGAACAAAAUGAAAACUUUAGGACUGGUAGACUUGUGCCAGCAGUAUUAUGAGAAUAGGCUACUAUCAGUAUCAUGUGUGAAGGUUGUUGGGAAAUGUUGAUAGGAAUUAUAAUUUGAUUUAAAAUUUGAGAUAUUAAAUACACCUUGUGUUAAGGGAAAUGUG